GACGAACGCUGGCGGCGUGCCUAAUACAUGCAAGUAGAACGCUGAAGGAGGAGCUUGCUCUUCUGGAUGAGUUGCGAACGGGUGAGUAACGCGUAGGUAACCUGCCUGGUAGCGGGGGAUAACUAUUGGAAACGAUAGCUAAUACCGCAUAAUAGUAGAUGUUGCAUGACAUUUGCUUAAAAGGUGCAAUUGCAUCACUACCAGAUGGACCUGCGUUGUAUUAGCUAGUUGGUGGGGUAACGGCUCACCAAGGCGACGAUACAUAGCCGACCUGAGAGGGUGAUCGGCCACACUGGGACUGAGACACGGCCCAGACUCCUACGGGAGGCAGCAGUAGGGAAUCUUCGGCAAUGGACGGAAGUCUGACCGAGCAACGCCGCGUGAGUGAAGAAGGUUUUCGGAUUGUAAAGCUCUGUUGUAAGAGAAGAACGAGUGUGAGAGUGGAAAGUUCA
rnacentral:rRNA from 1 species